CUGGAGCCAUCGCAUGAAUAUGUACACUUUAAAAUUCACAAAAGGACAUUCUCACAGGUUCACUGGAGCUUAAUGAGUAGUUAAUAUAUCUGCACCGAAGUGACAGGUAAGGAAAUGGGAGAAGUGUUACUCAGCAAUGGCUAACCGGAACAUCUUCCAUUAUUAUUGAUUAUAUGAGUUUGAAAUUAUGAAAAUUGUUGGAGAGUUUCCUUAUCAAAUCUUUCCUAUGUAGUAAUAUAGUUGGAGCCAUCACAAAGCUGAAUUUUGAAGCAGGAAUUUAUUUUGAAAAAGCUGUACACGACUUGCUUGUGUUAGAGGAUCAUUGUGGUCAAAGGUUAUAGGAGGCAAAGAAAUUCCCAUCCUAGAUGCAGAAGAGCCUGCAAACUGAGCAAGAUAUAUGUAAAUGCAAGAUAUAUGUAAAUGCAAGAUAUCAGAAACAGGUCUAGGAGUGGAUGGUGACCCCUUUCUACAUGUUACUCAGUUACUACAAUAUAUGUUAAUCAAGUUGAAUAAUAUAUGUCAUUCAAACCUACUAAACAUCAAGCUACAACGAAUGACACUGUGAAUAUAUUUUCAUUGCUCCUCUAAUUAUGUCUUUGAUAUUGAUUUUGACGAAUGGAACUAGAGAGGGCAUAAAAGUAUCUGUAUUGCUCUUGAGACAUACCCCGUGCCAACCAUGGUGUCACUCAUGUAAUAAACUUUUAACAAAUA
rnacentral:lncRNA from 1 species